rnacentral:rRNA from 1 species
CCUACGGGUGGCUGCAGUGGGGAAUAUUGCACAAUGGGCGCAAGCCUGAUGCAGCCAUGCCGCGGGUGUGAAGAAGGCCUUCGGGUUGUAAAGCACUUUCAGCGGGGAGGAAGGCGGUGAGGUUAAUAACCUCAUCGAUUGACGUUACCCGCAGAAGAAGCACCGGCUAACUCCGUGCCAGCAGCCGCGGUUAUACGGAGGGUGCAAGCGUUAAUCGGAAUUACUGGGCGUAAAGCGCACGCAGGCGGUCUGUCAAGUCGGAUGUGAAAUCCCCGGGCUCAACCUGGGAACUGCAUUCGAAACUGGCAGGCUAGAGUCUUGUAGAGGGGGGUAGAAUUCCAGGUGUAGCGGUGAAAUGCGUAGAGAUCUGGAGGAAUACCGGUGGCGAAGGCGGCCCCCUGGACAAAGACUGACGCUCAGGUGCGAAAGCGUGGGGAGCAAACAGGAUUAGAUACCCGGGUAGUC